GACGAACGCUGGCGGCGUGCUUAACACAUGCAAGUCGAGCGGUAAGGCCUCUUCGCGGGUACACGAGCGGCGAACGGGUGAGUAACACGUGGGUGACCUGCCCUCAGCUCUGGGAUAAGCCUGGGAAACUGGGUCUAAUACCGGAUAUGACCUUUCCUCGCAUGGGGUUUGGUGGAAAGUUUUUUCGGCUGGGGAUGGGCCCGCGGCCUAUCAGCUUGUUGGUGGGGUGAUGGCCUACCAAGGCGACGACGGGUAGCCGGCCUGAGAGGGCGACCGGCCACACGGGGACUGAGACACGGCCCAGACUCCUACGGGAGGCAGCAGUGGGGAAUAUUGCGCAAUGGGCGGAAGCCUGACGCAGCGACGCCGCGUAGGGGAUGACGGCCUUCGGGUUGUAAACCUCUUUCGACCCCGACGAAUUUGGACGGUGGGGGUAGAAGAAGCACCGGCCAACUACGUG
rnacentral:rRNA from 1 species